CCUUAUAUGUAUCAAGAUGCAUUUUAUUAAGUCUUCAUGGGUAUCUGGGACCUGGUAGAGUUAGUGGGACUUGGGAGUAGGAAUGGGAUAAAGGGGCAGCAUGAUUUUACUAUGCAGACUGUUUUUCCAGAAACCUGCUCAGCCAGCUCCUGAUGGAGAACACAUGUAGGAAGAAGUUGGUCCCACUGAAGCAGGAGAGCAAGGAGAUACAUCUUGAUUAUGCACUGAACCAGAAAUAUUUGGUUGACUUCAACAAGAAAGAUGAAGACCAUCAACGGCCAGAACCAGCAUUAUCAGGUCUCAGAAAGUGCAAGAGAGCUGGAAUUGGACACACCCCAGUAAGAGAGCUUCCUGAAGAAUAAGUUGCUUUCUCAGGUGUCCCUGAUGACCAACAUCCUGAAUGCACCUGAGAGUCAAGUUGGGAGACCGCUUUUCAUUAUGUGUGCUAGAGGAGAAACAGCAAUACAUCUGUGCUUCUAAAUGUUCGUUAAGAAUAUGCUUUUAGAAAUAUUUUUGUUAUGAUUUUAAUUGAAGUUUUCUUUUUGUUGUUUCAUAUUUAUAUGUUCUUGUUACUAUUUUUACUUUCAAAUAUUUUUAAAUAUUUUUA